rnacentral:piRNA from 1 species
UCUGAGUGCUACAGUGGUGCCACCGCAG